AUUGAACGCUGGCGGCAGGCCUAACACAUGCAAGUCGAACGGUAACAGGAAACAGCUUGCUGUUUCGCUGACGAGUGGCGGACGGGUGAGUAAUGUCUGGGAAACUGCCUGAUGGAGGGGGAUAACUACUGGAAACGGUAGCUAAUACCGCAUAACGUCGCAAGACCAAAGAGGGGGACCUUCGGGCCUCUUGCCAUCGGAUGUGCCCAGAUGGGAUUAGCUUGUUGGUGGGGUAACGGCUCACCAAGGCGACGAUCCCUAGCUGGUCUGAGAGGAUGACCAGCCACACUGGAACUGAGACACGGUCCAGACUCCUACGGGAGGCAGCAGUGGGGAAUAUUGCACAAUGGGCGCAAGCCUGAUGCAGCCAUGCCGCGUGUAUGAAGAAGGCCUUCGGGUUGUAAAGUACUUUCAGCGGGGAGGAAGGGAAUAAAGUUAAUACCUUUGCUCAUUGACGUUACCCGCAGAAGAAGCACCGGCUAACUCCGUG
rnacentral:rRNA from 1 species